rnacentral:ncRNA from 2 species
GGAGCUCCGUUGUUUUAAAGCAGUGCGUGAACGAACCACAUGAUGAGUUAAUAAGUAUAUGGUGGACCAUGUCCGUUCUUAGUUGGUGCAGCGAUUUGUCUGGUUGAUUCCGAUAACGAACGAGACUAUAGUCUAUUAAAUAGGUGCGUGGUUUUCUGCACCUUGCACCCUCCUCAGAGGGACAAGCGGCUCCUAGCCGCACGAAACGGAGCAAUAACAGGUCUGUGAUACCCUUAGAUGUCCGGGGCCGCACGCGCGCUAC